rnacentral:rRNA from 1 species
UACAGAGGUCUCAAGCGUUGUUCGGAUUCAUUGGGCGUAAAGGGUGCGUAGGUGGCGCGGUAAGUCGGGUGUGAAAUCUCGGAGCUUAACUCCGAAAUUGCAUUCGAUACUGCCGUGCUCGAGGACUGGAGCGGAGACUGGAAUUCAUGGUGUAGCAGUGAAAUGCGUAGAGAUCAUGAGGAACACCAAUUGCGAAGGCAGCUCGCUGGGACGUCACUGACGCUGAGACGCGAAAGCGUGGGGAGCAAACAGG